rnacentral:lncRNA from 1 species
GUACCAGAGAGGAUAAAACCAAACAGUAAAAUCAAAUCAGAACUUCUGAACUCGCUAUUGCUCGUGGAAGAACAAAAAUUGUUUGAAUUUAUCCUUUUUUUUUUUUGGGUAAAGGAUUUAUCUUCUUUUUUGUUUUUCAAUACGGUGCUCGGACUGAACCGAAUUUCCAUUGCAAAUUGGCGGAAGAAUUAAGCAAUGCACAUGACCAUG